rnacentral:rRNA from 1 species
GUUGAAGUUUUGAAGUUGUUUUCUACUAAAAGAAAUCUUGUGUUGACUGAAUUAGUUUAAAAAAAUAUUUGUUUGUGUUUGCAUCCACUGGGAGAACUCCCUCCCGAAGGAGAGCGUUCCCCCAACGAACAAAAGAAUAGUAGUAAAGUAAACUCCACUGUGUGUAGUAAUUAGAAAGUGUCGAGUCGUGUGAUAAAACACCUCCUUUGGAAUAGAGAGAUCCACGCACACUCCCAGGUCUUUGUCGGCUCCCUCCCCCCACUGCAGAACACCCACCAACCGCGCACUUAAGCGCAGGCAGGAGAAAUAGCAUUCACAGCAGAGAAAAUACUUUAGGAGCCUCCUGAGUGUCUACACUGGUCCUCCCCAGAGAUGUCUCUCUCCGAGCUCAGACAAAUUAAUUAAAUUUCUUUAAUGAUCCUUCCGCAGGUUCACCUACGGAAAUCGAAUUC